rnacentral:tRNA from 1 species
GCCCCUGUGGCGGAAUGGUAGACGCAGUUGACUUAAAAUCAACCGCCGUAAGGCUUGUGGGUUCGAGUCCCACCGGGGGUA